AACGCACAUUGCGCCCUUUGGUAUUCCGAAGGGCAUGCCUGUCCGAGCGUCAUUAUCCACCAUCAAGCCCGGCUUGUGAGUUGGGCCCCGCGCCGUUGAGGCGCGGGCCCGAAAGUCAGUGACGGUGCCGCGGCUGGCCCCCAGAUGUAGCGAGCUUUACAAGCAGCAUCCGGGCGGUCGGCGGGCCCGUCUCAACCAUUUUAAACACCAGGUUGACCUCGGAUCAGGUAGGGAUACCCGCUGAACUUAA
rnacentral:misc_RNA from 1 species